UGUGCAGUUAUAUUCAGAACUUUGCCAUCUUGGGUGACAUGUUAGUGUGAAGUGUCCCUGCCCAUGGCAGGGGGGUUGGAACUAGAUGAUAUUAAGGUCCUUUC